GAACCUUACCUACUCUUGACAUCCAGAGAACUUAGCAGAGAUGCUUUGGUACCUUCGGGAACUCUGAGACAGGUGCUGCAUGGCUGUCGUCAGCUCGUGUUGUGAAAUGUUGGGUUAAGUCCCGCAACGAGCGCAACCCUUAUCCUUUGUUGCCAGCGGUUCGGCCGGGAACUCAAAGGAGACUGCCAGUGAUAAACUGGAGGAAGGUGGGGAUGACGUCAAGUCAUCAUGGCCCUUACGAGUAGGGCUACACACGUGCUACAAUGGCAUAUACAAAGAGAAGCGACCUCGCGAGAGCAAGCGGACCUCAUAAAGUAUGUCGUAGUCCGGAUCGGAGUCUGCAACUCGACUCCGUGAAGUCGGAAUCGCUAGUAAUCGUGGAUCAGAAUGCCACGGUGAAUACGUUCCCGGGUCUUGUACACACCG
rnacentral:rRNA from 1 species